rnacentral:lncRNA from 1 species
AUGAUUUUUAAAGAUCUAUUUCUAUACAUAACUAAAACAACUUUUAUAACCUGUAAAAUAAGUUUUUUUCCUUCUAGCACCGCAGUUGACCUCAGUGAAAAACCCAGUAUUUCUCUGGAAGAAGACGGGAACAAGGCGAGCGCCUUCUCAAAAUAUCCUGAAAAGCAGGAUCAAUUUCUGAGGAAAAGGACCAACUAUGCGACAGGCACUGAGGGUGCACUGGCAUCUAAACAUCUGGGGAAUGCAGUCCCUCACCCUGGAGAUGCCCAGCUGCCGUGGGCGAGGCGAAGGGAGGGGCAGGCCUUGAGCAGAGCUGGCCCUGGAAGAGGUGCCGGGAGACCCGCACGGGAGGAGACCUGAGAGCUGAGUUUUGAAGAUUGAGGGAGAAGCCGGGGUUUCCUGAAACCUCAAGAUAGGUCUGGGGUUUCAGACUUGGCGACCUCCUGAAUCAUGACGCCGUUAACCAAGACAGGGAAGGAACAAAGGAGGGCUCCUUUCUGGAAGAAGAUGAGGAGUUCAGAUUUGGCAUUCCUGCUUGAUUCUCCUGCCUUGGUUUUGAUCCCAGGGCGGCGUGGUUGACGGGAACUGGCUUUCACUUCAAGCCGGAUUCAUGGCAUCCUGGCCCUACCAUAUGCGCUAAUGACGUUAAAAUGGACACAUUUCUUACACCCUCGUUUGUAAAUAGGAAUUGAUGAUGCAUACUUCUUAAAGGGUAAGGUUUAAACUGUAACGUAGUAACUAAAUUUGUAAUCCUUUUAGCAAUAUUUCCCGACCUCCCUGAGCACAGUCUGAACCCAAACUGAAUCCACUUUGUUGCUUCAAGUCUUUUUUAAAUUUAGUGAAUGUGUUUUUUCCUGUGAUUUUGUAAUUGAACUAUAGUGGAUUUACAUUUCAGGUGUACAGCAAAGUGAUUCGGUUGUGAUAUACGUAACUGCCGAUUCUUUUCCAUUAUUGGAAAGAGGUGGGGAUGCUACCACCAGAUAGUGAAUGCAGUUCUGUGCUGUAGAAUCGGGCUUUGUUAGUUAUCUAAUUUGUUUAUAGUGUGUGUCUGCUCACCCCAAUCUCCUAAUUUAUCCUGCCCCCACCCUUUCCCCUUUGGUAACCAUACUUUUGUUUUCUCAGUCCGUGAGUCUCUGUUUCAUAUAUAACUUCAUUUGUAUCAUUUUUUUAGAUUCCACAUAUGAGUGAGAUCAUGUGAUACUUGUCUUCAUCUGAUGUAGGUAUAUUCUUUGGAAUAUAAGCUCUAGGUCCAUCCAUGUUGCAUUAUUUCACCCCUUUUGCCACUGAGGGUGAACUUUCUUCUAUUGCCUAUAACCCAUUCCUCACGCUAUGCGGGCUGAUCUCCUAGUGCCCCCCCUUUUACCUGGAGCUGACUCCCCUUAUUCUCACCACACUUUGUAGCCAGUGUUGAGAAGCAUGCCCCAGCUCCCUGCUGUCUUUAAGCCUCAGGGGAGGGGAUGGGUAAAACCAAGGAUGCAGGAAUCUCCGCAGUUCACAUCUGUAUCAUCUGCUGGGACCACACCUCGCCGAUGCAUUUUGCGCGUUUACAGUCAGGCGCGAACGUCCUUGGUUCUUCAAUCCCCGGCCUCCGUGGGGAGGGAUGUCCUCCCACAGUCCCGGGGCCAAGUCAGGAUACAGAGGGAUGUCAUUCUGCCGGACUGCUCACACGCACAACGUGACAGCUGUUGUAUGACAAGCUGAAGUGGGAGCGUCACAAGCUGGGAAGGAAGAGGAAAUGCUUUCCGGAUUCACUGAAGCACAACUUGAAUAAACACAGAAAGCUGGAGACA